rnacentral:rRNA from 1 species
UACGAAGGGGGCUAGCGUUGUUCGGAAUUACUGGGCGUAAAGCGCACGCAGGCGGUCUUGUAAGUUUGACGUGAAAGCUCCCGGCUUAACUGGGAGAGGUCGUUGAAGACUGCAAGACUUGAGGAAAUGAGAGGGGUGUAGAAUUCCCGGUGUAGUGGUGGAAUGCGUAGAUAUCGGGGGGAAUACCAGUGGCGAAAGCGGCACCCUAGCAUUUUUCUGACGCUCAUGUGCGAAAGCGUGGGGAGCGAACGGG